UACGAAGGGGGCUAGCGUUGCUCGGAAUCACUGGGCGUAAAGCGCACGUAGGCGGAUUGCUAAGUCAGGGGUGAAAUCCUGGAGCUCAACUCCAGAACUGCCUUUGAUACUGGCAACCUUGAGUCCGGGAGAGGUGAGUGGAACUGCGAGUGUAGAGGUGAAAUUCGUAGAUAUUCGCAAGAACACCAGUGGCGAAGGCGGCUCACUGGCCCGGUACUGACGCUGAGGUGCGAAAGCGUGGGGAGCGAACGGG
rnacentral:rRNA from 1 species